GAUGAACGCUGGCGGCGUGCCUAAUACAUGCAAGUCGAGCGAACAGAUGAGGAGUUUGCUCCUCUGACGUUAGCGGCGGACGGGUGAGUAACACGUGGAUAACCUACCUAUAAGACUGGGAUAACUUCGGGAAACCGGAGCUAAUACCGGAUAAUAUAUUGAACCGCAUGGUUCAAUAGUGAAAGACGGUUUUGCUGUCACUUAUAGAUGGAUCCGCGCCGCAUUAGCUAGUUGGUAAGGUAACGGCUUACCAAGGCAACGAUGCGUAGCCGACCUGAGAGGGUGAUCGGCCACACUGGAACUGAGACACGGUCCAGACUCCUACGGGAGGCAGCAGUAGGGAAUCUUCCGCAAUGGGUGAAAGCCUGACGGAGCAACGCCGCGUGAGUGAUGAAGGUCUUCGGAUCGUAAAACUCUGUUAUUAGGGAAGAACAAAUGUGUAAGUAACUAUGCACGUCUUGACGGUACCUAAUCAGAAAGCCACGGCUAACUACGUG
rnacentral:rRNA from 1 species